rnacentral:lncRNA from 1 species
UUUAGGUUGUCAGUUCCUGUUCAGACUUUUCAAAAUCUUGAUGUUAAUCUCUUCUUUCUCAAAGGCUUUGCCAAGAGCCAUCAAGUGGUUUACAAUAUGAGUGAACCGUUUCUGGACAUCAUAGAUAUUCUCACCAGCUUUCAUUCUGAACAACUCAUAUUCUUGUAUCAAUGAAUUCUUCCUGUCUCUCUUGACUUCAUCCGUGCCUUCAUGUGUUACCUCUAGAACAUCCUACAUUUCCUUUGCAGUCUU